GAAAGUCGCAGGUGGUCAGGCCUGCAAUGAGUGCGCCCUCCUGGUCUGCCGCCCUUGCUAUGAGUAUGAACAUGAGGAUGGCGUACAACAAGGAGUUGACGGCCUACUCAAGCGCCAAGGGAAGGCGGCAGGCUGGCAGCGCCACCAAGAGCCCAACACGAACCUCCAAUAUUGAGUCCUACCUGUAAUUCACGGAUAAGGUUGGUUGUGCCCCUCUGCUGGAGGAUCUCAGUCCAACUACUCUGGAUGCAUCUAUGACAUGGUGGACAAGGCAGUAGAAGCAUGUGACAUGGCAGCCAAGGGAGUUGUUUUGUGGGAUGAAGUGUU